GACGAACGCUGGCGGCGUGCCUAAUACAUGCAAGUAGAACGCUGAAGAGAGGAGCUUCCUCUUCUUGGAUGAGUUGCGAACGGGUGAGUAACGCGUAGGUAACCUGCCUUGUAGCGGGGGAUAACUAUUGGAAACGAUAGCUAAUACCGCAUAACAAUGGAUGACACAUGUCAUUUAUUUGAAAGGGGCAAUUGCUCCACUACAAGAUGGACCUGCGUUGUAUUAGCUAGUAGGUGAGGUAAUGGCUCACCUAGGCGACGAUACAUAGCCGACCUGAGAGGGUGAUCGGCCACACUGGGAAUGAGACACGGCCCAGACGCCUACGGGAGGCAGCAGUAGGGAAUCUUCGGCAAUGGGGGCAACCCUGACCGAGCAACGCCGCGGGAGGGAAGAAGGGUUUCGGAUCGUAAAGCUCGGUUGUAAGUCAAGAACGGGUGUGAGAGUGGAAAGUUCACACUGUGACGGUAGCUUACCAGAAAGGGACGGCUAACUACGUG
rnacentral:rRNA from 1 species